CCUGACUUCUGCUCUGCGCGCCCGAUUCCUCUCUUCCCAGAUCUCCCCUCUGCUUGACGCGCUCUCUCUCACGGACGACUCGAAGACGACGGAACGGAGCUUCGACCUUCGGCGAUCGACAGUGUCACUUGAGGAGGAAGUCGCCGGAUCUCGACGAUACCGGCGAAGUCCAAGCCAUCUUUAGUAAUCGAUACCUAGGGCACGACUGAUCGCCUGCUUCUCGCCAGACCUUUUCUUCUUUCCUCGGCACCGCCGGUGUAGAUUUAUUCCCGGAGCCUCAAGGAUGAGCUAUCUUGUUCUUCUUUGAUUUCCCGCAAACCUCAGCGCCGAACCUUUCCUCGAUUCCUCCUCUUCCUCUUGUGGCGCUGUGCCCUAGCCGGAUCUUGGAGAGACGUUCGAUUGUUGAGGUAAUCUGGUGGGGGAGUCUUCUUCCGGCAGCAACCAUCUAUGGUUGAGGAUCAGCAGAAAGUGAACUGUUGAUUGCCUCUAAACCUUACGUGAGAAAGAUUCCAGCAGGGAAGUUUAGUUCUGUGGUGUUCUUUGGUCCCAUCAGCUACUCUUUCAUGGCAGUAACGAUUCUGGAUUGGGGAUCAACAGAAGGGGCUGAGCUUGAGUUAAGAUUGGGAGGCCAGGGUAUAGGGUCUCAAAGCAAUUUGAUCCAGAGACAAAACAACGGUCUCUUCUAUUUCAGGCUCCUCGACAACAAGAUGCCAAACAAUGUGGUUAUUAUGUGAUGUGAUUUAUGAGACAAAUUGUUGAAGAAGUUGAAAUUAUCGAGAGAGAUUCUCUACGAUCUAUAUUCACACAAAAGGAGUAUUCUCGAGAAGAAAUUGAUGAGGUGCGAUCGGAGUUGGCAGAAUGUAUACAAGAUCAUAUUUAUGAGUAGAUGCGUUCAAGUUUAUCCAACCCUUUGUUUCAAAGUAUUUUGAUGUUAUUGAUCCUUCAAGGACGAACAACAAUCUUUGACAAAGUUUCAGAACAAGAUACACAGUGGUAGGUGUUUUGUGCCAAGUCUCAAGCCGACAAUCCUUUUUGAACAAUAUUUCUAGUAGAAGUAAGCAUGCAGAUCGUUAUCUUCGAGGCCGGCUCACUAUUUUGUGUUUGUUUGUUUUAAAUUUGAAUGCCACUAUCUACUAUGAAACAGAACUAUUUAGUCUUUGUAUAUAGUUGAAUUCUUCUAUAAAUUCUAAUAUUU